rnacentral:lncRNA from 1 species
AUGAUGCAAUUGACCACCUUCUCAGCAACAGCUGAAUAUUUGCUCCUCAAAAUGAGCAAGCCUGUUAACUGUGAAUGUGAAGAGAUGAAGCAAGCAAAAAAAAAAAGUGUGAAGAGCUUUGCUGCCAUAUCGGCCCUAUAUCAGAUAGUUUUAGGAUCAAUGAAUGAAUAGGUAUUUAACAGAGACUGUUAUUCUACAGAGAAGGUCUAUUUCCAAGAAAUGAAGGGGGGAAAAUUAAAAGGCAGAUCAGUACAUUUUCACUAUAUGAUGACAAUAUUAGAGAAAGAACUUCAUUUGUCUUCAUUUAAUUUUGGAUCUUUACAGUGGAAGAGUACUACAGAAAGAUCUAGAUAAAAUCUUUUAUCAGGUGUUGCCACGGUACCAGUAUUUUUGUUUUCUUGUUGGAGUUUCUCAUGUCAGAAAAACCGCUCUGCUGUGUAAGUUUAAAGCUCACAUUCUGUCCUUCAUUUUUGCACUUUACAUUAUAAAUCACUUUGUUUACUAUAGAGGUAAUAGAUAUCAUCGCCUUUGUUCUACCAUGAAAGUGUUGAUUUUCAAAACACUAUAUGUUUAAAUUAUUCUAAUUAUAACUUAAUACUGCUGCAAUGACAUUUCACAUGCAGAAGUUAUAUCAGCGAAAAUCACUUAGGAUAACAGGCAGAAAUUAUUUUUUUUUUCUCUGAGUAUUCAUAGUACACUGGAAAUUGGGAGGUCAGGAUUUCUCACAGAUAAGACCAUCCAUUGCUGUGUUUCCCUCUGUGGAGUUACAUGCUACAUUCCCUUCCUCCCUUAUACACUAAAGCAAGAGAAACAUUUCCCUCACUCGCAGGGAUUCGGUGGUCUUCUUUGUCAGGCACUCGUUUUGCUGGUUUUGGUGCUGUAUGAGGCAGAAGAUAUGGGGAAUGUCUGGACAGUCAGCACCAAGUGCUUUCUUUAAAUGCCAGAGGUGGAGGAGUUCUGGAAAGAGCUGAAAAAAUACAAGUAGAUUAAUUUGCACUUCACAGAAGUUUCUGUUAGAAUAGAUUCAGAAAGGGAUUGAAUGAGAGAAGCAAACACGGAGGCAAAGUAAUGGCAAAAAAAAAG